rnacentral:rRNA from 1 species
CUUGCAACCAUAAGAGGUCCAGCCUGCCCAGUGAUCUAAUUCAACGGCCGCGGUAUCCUAACCGUGCAAAGGUAGCGUAAUCACUUGUUUUCUAAAUAAAGACUAGUAUGAAAGGCAUCACGAGGACUUAACUGUCUCCUUUCUCCAAUCAGUGAACCUAAUCUUCCCGUGAAAAAGCGGGAAUCCACCUAUAAGACGAGAAGACCCUGUGGAGCUUUAAACAUAAUAACACCUGCCACCAUCUCUAACAACCCCGGUACCUCCUUCAAGCGGCACCCUGAUUAUAUGUUUUUGGUUGGGGCGACCGCGGAGAAAAACUCAUCCUCCGCAAUGAACAGGACUUCUUCCUUAAACAAUAAGUCACAACUUUACGUAUUAAAAAAUUAACAUUCCUUGACCCAAUAAAUUGAUUAAUGAAC